rnacentral:lncRNA from 1 species
CCUAAUUAUCAUAGCAUGUCAACCAUGAGUGCAAGAUAAUAAAAGAUAAUGGAGUUUCAUAGCCAUGAAAUCCUUAGACCAUAUUCCUAGUCUUGGAUCUUUGAAUUUGUGCUCACACAAACCAAUAAUGUAAUAAGACAGAGUCUUCUUCUCUGAUGUAAUUAAAAAUAUUGACUAAAUUGAUUAUUUCCACAUUUUAAAAAGGCUAAAGGUACAAUGAGAAAGGCUUCUCCCAAUAAUUUUCCAGAAAUAUUUCAUCCUAGUGUUAUCUGCAUCGAGCCACAUAGGUAACAAAAGACAACAUAUAUUUGGAGCACUACAUGAGUGGCAGAUAUGAAAUGAAGUAUUUAUCAGAUAUUAUCUCAUUUCAUCUUCACAACUCCCCUAUGAAGUAAUACUAUUAUUAUCUCCACUCACUCAAGGUCACUCAGCUAGAGAGAGGUAGUACUAGGAUUCAAAUCUAGAAUUGUCUGAAUGCAAACCCUUGCUCUUUCUGCUUGUUUUUCUGCCUUUCACAAUCUAAUAAGCUUGGGACAAUACAGGUGACCAGUAAGCAUAAUUAAAUAUUUUUCUCCCUAUUGGCUAAAAAUGACAGAGACUUGGACACCAAUAGGGUCUUGGAAGUAACUUAUCCUUGAUAAUGGAGGCUAACAAAAAUCCAGCUGGUAGGAUGGGACACCACAUAAUACUAGAAGCUGUUGGAAAAUUUCAUUGAAUAUCCAGUCCCCUUUUAUAACUCUAUAUACGAUAGAUAAAACAACAUUAAAUAAUUGGUAAAAGGCUGAGUUUUAUAUUUUUGGAUAUGAUUAAUUCAAAAUUAAAGAUUUGGGGGAUUU